AUUCGGGUUGAUAACUAGGCAGCGCUCUCGAUCUCAAACCCACUCUACGACGUCUGCCCUUUAAGUACCCGAUAUAUCAAACACCCAAUUCUUUGGCGGAGAUCUUACACGUUUUCCGGACUUCUUUAUUUCUUAUGUGCUUGUUAACGUUUAAAUUUCCGAGACAUUC
rnacentral:snoRNA from 1 species